UACGUAGGGCGCAAGCGUUAUCCGGAAUUAUUGGGCGUAAAGAGCUCGUAGGCGGUUUGUCGCGUCUGCCGUGAAAGUCCGGGGCUCAACUCCGGAUCUGCGGUGGGUACGGGCAGACUAGAGUGAUGUAGGGGAGAUCGGAAUUCCUGGUGUAGCGGUGAAAUGCGCAGAUAUCAGGAGGAACACCGGUGGCGAAGGCGGGUCUCUGGGCCGUAACUGACGCUGAGGAGCGAAAGCGUGGGGAGCGAACAGG
rnacentral:rRNA from 1 species